AAACGUCCAACGGCCGCAACCGCCCGGCUGGGCUCGGUGUGGCGGUCACGGCCGGGGCCGCAAGGAGCCCGGAGCCGCCGCCGCCACCGCUCCAGGCAUCGUGCUGACAGGGCAACGGCCCGGAUCACGCAGCCCCGAGGGCCGCUCGCAGCCUUCUCCUCAGCCCUCGCAGGGCUGCACGCACGGGAGAACCCGGCAGCUGCAAGGAGGGCCGGGACCCCUGCUUCUGGGGACCAGGGUAGAGAGAAAGGGCCUCGAGGUGCUGGCGCUCCUCGGAGUCCGCGCCACCGCAAACGCCGCCGCCGCCGCCGCCGCUUCUACCCACUCCUCACUCCGAAUGGCAACUAAUUCGCCCCAGCCGCACCCCGCCCCCGGCACCGCCUCCCAGCGCCCAGGACCCGGCAGCUGCCGCAGCGAGCAUUUCCAUUGGCUUAGGCGCUCCCCACUAGAACUCGAGUGAUUGGUUCUGGAAUAGGAGUGAGAGAAGCAGUGUCCAAUGACAAUGGUGCCUCCUACUUUGAAGGCGGGGCGUGAGGGGUGGCAGCGUGAGGUGGGGGCUGUGCGCGCAGGGAGGAGCGUAAAAGUUGACAGCCUUGAGCAUGUGACACCUUCUGCCAUGAGAUGAUGCUACAAGAAGAACCUCACCGACUGCUGGCACCUUGAUACUGGACUUCACAGCCUCCAGAAUUGUGAGCCAAUGUCUUUCAAACAUUGAUAAUUACAGCUUUCAGACCCAAAGCCUACAAAUUCAUAAUCCAUACAGAUGACAUACUAAAAUCUACUCAAACUUGUAAGUCUGAAGACAAUUUCAGCACUAUUGGACUUACAUUAGGAGAAAACUGCUUAAAAAGAGAUAAUCCACUUUAAAGCAAGAAAACAAGAUAAUUCAAGGGAAAAAUGUAUGACUCUAAAUUUGGAAACCAGACAGGAUCUGCUAAUACGGGGCAGAAUGUUAAAAAGAGGAUGAAUUUUGAUUUCAGAAAAUUUAGAAGAAAAUGGAUUUCUCAGGCAACUGAAAGAACAUAUUUGGAUCUGUUAAGAUGAAAGGAGACUUCAAGAGAACUGGACUUUGUGUUGGACAGGCUGUCUGUGACAGGGAAAAAACCCCUUCUGAAUGAUUAGGGAUGAAUCAGUUAACUUGCUUGAGUUUCACAUUCUUCAUCUGUAAAAUCUGGUGAUUAGACUGGCCCAGCAAAAGAUAUAAUGGGCAAAAGAUAUAAUACACAUAAAUUGGAAUGAAUCUGCAUUUUCCAAGCCUGAUGACUUUAUUAAAACUGAAUUAAGUCACUAACUGGCAGCCUGAAGAUGAAAGGAAAGAACUCAGUCAUGCUUCUUAAGGUAAAAGGGCAGUCUAACUGAGAAUUUUGUUAUCUCUGAGGACAAAUUACAAGGAGAUAAAGACACUCAAGAUCACAUGGAAGGCUUCUGCUCCCACUUAGAGACUGCAAUGUAAGCGACGGAGACAAAGAAGAUUUUCCUGAGCAGUGUCAGUAACAAAGAAAUGAAGCAAAUUAUUAAGAAACUGAUGGGCAUUCAUUGAAGAGCAACAAAUAUGAUUCAUAAGUCUGAAGGGACAGCCUUCAGAGAGAAGAUGAAAGAGACAAGUCUCUCAGCAUGACCAUGUGGCUCUAACGGGACUGGCUCAUGGGCAACAAGUACUUGAAGGGUGUAAAUAGUGGGGACAGAGAGAAAUUAUUUAGUGUGCAAGGGGACAGCAGGAGGAGUGAUGGUAAAUGAAAGUCAAAACAAAGAUGAUUUAGGCAGCUGAACGAGUCACAGGCCCUAAUGGAGAGAUCUAUUAUAGGCUGUACAGCCUUGGGAAGGGUGGAAACCCCAUCACUUGUGCCAUUUACAGUUGGAAAAGCCAUUAAAAAGUAGAUCAGCCUGUUGGAGAGGGAAAAAACACCGCAGGUCCUCAGAGAAUCAGUGGGAUGACUUAAUAGGUCUUUUCCAUCUCAAAUUACUGUGAUGUAGUUUGUACGCAUGGGGACCUGAGGUUCUAGAAUAAUUUUUCCAGCAUUUGGGCUUCUUUACUAUUACUACAAGGCCUCAGUGAAGAAAUGAUAACGGGUCAUGGAAUGCAGUUUCUGCAUUGUAAGUGGAAGCCCACAGUGUACUGAUGCUUUAGUAUGAAGGCAGGACUGACUAUGGUAAGUUUCACAUUGUGAUGUCAGUGUAAAUAAAUAAAAACACAAUACCAAUUAAGUCCCAAAACAACAUACAUAUAUUGACUGAGACCAAAGGCAGAGGGAAAGGACCUUUGUCACAGUUAGAUGGUGGCUGAAUAAAUGAAAAUUCAAGUAGUUUAUUCUCUCAUCUAGAAAAAUACAUGUCUAAAUACUUAAAAGUCUAUCUUUACAAAAAAAAAAUAAGAAAAAAAAUGGCCUUAAAACUAUCAAGAAAUAUUUACUGUGUAGGAACUUUAGGACCCACAUUUUGAAUGUGUGCUGUAUUUCUGUGCACAGCUGCAGUUGUAAUUAGCAACUGACACAUUCCGAAACCAUGGUGGCCCAGAGGAGCACAUAUGUGCACAGGCUGUGCCAACCUGGGGCAAUAACUGCAACUGAAAGGAACGGGCACAGCUUGGUCAGAUGGAAACUGGGGCAGGCAGAGAAGGGCUGGUGUUACUGUGAUUACUAGAAGGAGCACAGCUGUGACCAUCUCAACCCUUCUCAGCCAGAGGAUGACACGGAAGCAGGGGACAAAAAUGGUAAGAGGGUGACAGGAGGGAGAGGCAGCAAGAAAGAAAGCAAAAGAAUCCAGAGAGGGAAACCCACAGAUGCAAGCUCUUUGCAGGUGGAGUAUAUCACAGAUCCUGAUAAAAAUAUUGUAUGUGGUUGAGCACAAGUGAAACUUGGCGUUCUAGAAGACUGAAGUUUGCAACAAAAAUUCAGGGUUUGACCUACACCUGACAGAUAUAGGUCAACCCUCAUCCUGCUGCUCUCAGCAGCUGUAGCCAAUAGGAGACAGUGCUGCCCAGCAUGCCGGUUUAAGCUGCUGCUAAUAGAGGGAAAUCAACGUAACCCCAUAUUUCCUGCCUCUGCAGUCCUCACUUGUCUAUACAUGGCCAACUCAGGCGCAGGCAGAGCUGCUGGCUUGCUGUAACUGCUGGAUGACUGAUAAGUGGAAUCUGGUGCUAGCAUAUAUAUUCCCACCUCAUCUAGCUAAAAAAUCUUUUGUAAAGCCUUUUAAGGGAGGACCAUUAAAAUUCAAUUUUCCCUCAUUAACCUAAAUGCUUUCUUAAAUUCAUAUAACCAGAAGAGACGUACUAAUUCUUCACACCAACAGAACUUUAGAGAUGUUUAGAGAGAGGAAAUUCCGUGACAGAGGCCUAUUUUUGAAAGGAUACAGCAAAGGUUAAGUGACUUAUCCCAUGUUACUUAGAGGUGAUAGUUAAGGCAGAAAGCGAACUGAGGGAGUGGUCUGAGAUAAGUGAGGAAAUUAUGAAAUUAAAUCUGAAGAAAGAACAUCAUCACCAAAUCACAUUGGGUUAAAUAUCUAUUGGAAAUCCCAAUUCAGUAACACACAUUCCUUUAUCCUACAUGUUCAGACUAGUGUUAAAAGUGACUUCAGAUAUUUCCUAUGCUCAUGUUUUUUAAAAAAAAGUCCAACCAUUCUCCUCAAUGAACAUGACAUUAAAUCAAGCUAAGUCCAGUCACAUGGUCUCAACUUUACUCACUAAAGCUAGCAGGCAAGGGCCUAGUGAGUUGAAUUAGAGGUUUAAUUAGAAGAACAAGCAAUAAAUGCUAAAUGUUCUGUUGCAACUGUGUAACUUUCUGUGGGAUUUUAUGCCUUGUAUCUUUUUUCCUGAAUUCCAGACCAACGGGGCUGCACUAGAACCCCAGAAGCAGAGAAUUCCAUAACUCAGACUCUUUGAUUCAGAUAUUUUUCUUUUCAUCACCUUGAGAGAGCAAAUAAAUCCCCCAAACUACUUUUCCCACCUCUCAAGCUUCUAGAGGAUAUUCUUGACUGGAAUUUGUCCAUGUUCUUAAAUAACAGGUUACUUCACGUUCUUUGUGUUUAAAUAAAUGUAAUUAGGCCUGUUUUUAAAAACUAUGGAAAAUAUUAAAAAGAAAAUUAAAAUCAUCUAUAAACUUACCACUUAGUGGCAGCCACAUGAACAUUUUUGUGUUUCCUUAUUUCUACACAUAUGUAUACUUUCCAAAAUUUGUCAUAAAUGUUUUAAAGGUGCUUCAUAUAUUGCCAAAUUGCCCUCCAGAAAAGUUAAAUCAAUUUAUAAUCCAUUUUCAGUGAAUGGUGUAAUUUUAAAAGCCAGCUUUAAAUUUGAGUUGAAAAAUGAUGCCUCACAGCUGUCUUUAUUUUCUUCUAUCUCCCUCAAUCCUAAAGUUGACCAUUUCUUUCCUAUGGUUAUGGCCAAUUACAGUGGACAUCGUGUUUCACUCCUCAACAACAAUGUAGUUUCUGGAAUUGACCCCAGCUCUCGGAAUGAGUCCUGAUUACUAUUGAACCAAGCAUAGUAAUCCAAUCUCUUUGGCUAGUGAAAGGUUCAAAAUCAAAACAUAGCAUUCCUGUGACAAGAGAUUUAAUCCAGGUUGGUCCUAAUCUGAGUCAAUAAGGCUGAGAAGAAGCACUUGUAUUUUGUUGCUAGAAAAGAGAUUCUACGGCCUGGUGUGGUGGUUCACACCUGUAAUCCCAGCACUUUGGGAGGCCGAGGUGGGUGGAUCAUUUGAGGUCAGGAGUUUGAGACCAGCCUGCCUCUACCAAAAACACAAAAAUUAGCCGAGUGUGGUCGCGGGUGCCUGUAGUUCCAGCUACUCGGGAGGCUGAGGCAGGAGAAUCGCUUGAACCCAGGAGGUAGAGGUUGCAGUGAGCCAAGAAAAAAAAAAAAAAAAAGAGAGAGAGAGAGGUUCCACUUCUCCUCUGAUGAAUGUGAACAGGAAAGCGUAUUGUCCCCACGUGCUGCUGGGUGUUAUCUUGUGAACCUCAGAGAAGUCAACCUGACUUUCUGGUUACAUGCAAAAAUAUAUUAUUUCCUUAGUGUUUAGGUUAGUUUGAUUUGGGCUUCCAAUUUUUACAGUGAGAAGCUGUCAGAACCCUUUCUCUUUAUGGGAUUUUUGGAGUUUUUUAUUUGGUUUUUGCCAAUUCCUAUUAGGCAUUAUCAGUGUUUUUAUUGUUGAUGUGGUAAGAACUCUAUUGAGGGUGUAAUCUUGUUGUCUAUUUAUUAUGACUAUGUCUCCAAGUUUAUCACUUGUUCAUUAUUUGCUAUGUAGUCUUAUUUAAUUCAGAGAAGAAU
rnacentral:lncRNA from 1 species